rnacentral:rRNA from 1 species
AGUGAACGCUGGCGGUAGGCCUAACACAUGCAAGUCGAACGGCAGCACAGUAAGAGCUUGCUCUUACGGGUGGCGAGUGGCGGACGGGUGAGGAAUACAUCGGAAUCUACUUUUUCGUGGGGGAUAACGUAGGGAAACUUACGCUAAUGCCGCAUACGACCUACGGGUGAAAGCAGGGGAUCUUCGGACCUUGCGCGAUUGAAUGAGCCGAUGUCGGAUUAGCUAGUUGGCGGGGUAAAGGCCCACCAAGGCGACGAUCCGUAGCUGGUCUGAGAGGAUGAUCAGCCACACUGGAACUGAGACACGGUCCAGACUCCUACGGGAGGCAGCAGUGGGGAAUAUUGGACAAUGGGCGCAAGCCUGAUCCAGCCAUACCGCGUGGGUGAAGAAGGCCUUCGGGUUGUAAAGCCCUUUUGCUGGGAAAGAAAAGCAGCAGGUUAAUACCCCGCUGUUCUGACGGUACCCAAAGAAUAAGCACCGGCUAACUUCGUG